rnacentral:lncRNA from 1 species
UCUCGAUAGUGGGGCACUUCAGCUUUUGCACUGGGAUCCACAUCACUUGAUGCAUCUGAUCAGACUUUGAUCCCUCACAUCUCCACUGUCUUCCAGAUGAUCUCAGAUCAGUCAGCUUGCAUUCAGCAGCUUGAGGGUUACAUAUUGAGACUGACUGGGAGGGUACUUGACUUGCAGGGGCAAGUGUUAGCUCUGGCACAUCCACAGCCACAGGAGUGCACCACUGAGGUCUCAGACCUAUCUAUGGAGGCAGCCAGACUUAGAGGAGUAUUGGAGAGUGGAUUUGAUUUCCUGAGGAGAGAGAUCAG